GACGAACGCUGGCGGCGUGCUUAACACAUGCAAGUCGAACGAUGAAGGAGGAGCUUGCUCCUCCGGAUUAGUGGCGAACGGGUGAGUAACACGUGAGCAAUCUGCCCUUGACUCUGGGAUAAGCGCUGGAAACGGCGUCUAAUACCGGAUACGACCCUCGGAGGCAUCUCCUGUGGGUGGACAGAACUUCGGUCAAGGAUGAGCUCGCGGCCUAUCAGCUUGUUGGUGAGGUAACGGCUCACCAAGGCGACGACGGGUAGCCGGCCUGAGAGGGUGACCGGCCACACUGGGACUGAGACACGGCCCAGACUCCUACGGGAGGCAGCAGUGGGGAAUAUUGCACAAUGGGCGCAAGCCUGAUGCAGCAACGCCGCGUGAGGGACGACGGCCUUCGGGUUGUAAACCUCUUUUAGCAGGGAAGAAGCGAGAGUGACGGUACCUGCAGAAAAAGCACCGGCUAACUACGUGCCAGCAGCCGCAGUAAGAC
rnacentral:rRNA from 1 species